AGCAGCAUGGCGCAGAUGGAAGCGCGCGGGGCCCAUAUUUGUGAUUAUCCAACCCCGAGGUCACUCGAUCGAAACGAGUUGCUGCUA